rnacentral:rRNA from 1 species
AUUGAACGCUGGCGGCAGGCCUAACACAUGCAAGUCGGACGGUAGCACAGAGAGCUUGCUCUCGGGGGACGAGGGGCGGAAGGGUGAGUAAUGUCUGGGGAUCUGUCGGAGAGAGGGGGAUAACCACUGGAAACGGUGGCUAAUACCGCAUAACGUCGCAAGACCAAAGAGGGGGAACUUCGGGCCUCUCACUAUCGGGUGAACCCGGAUGGGUUUAGCUAGUGGGCGGGGUAACGGCCCACCUAGGCGACGAUCCCUAGCUGGUCUGAAAGGAUGACCAGCCACACUGGAACUGAGACACGGUCCAGACUCCUACGGGAGGCAGCAGUGGGGAAUAUUGCACAAUGGGCGCAAGCCUGACGCAGCCAUGCCGCGUGUAUGAAGAAGGCCUUCGGGUUGUAAAGUACUUUCAGCGGGGAGGAAGGCGAUGUGGUUAAUAACCGCAUUGAUUGACGUUACCCGCAGAAGAAGCACCGGCUAACUCCGUGCCAGCCGCCGCAGUAA